CCUUUAUUAAAAUUUAAAAGUCUGUAAUACAUAGAGUAAAAUCUGGGAAUCAAGAAGAAGAAGAAUCUCGGUGCCGCGAACGCCGUCGGUCACCUAACUUAGCUACGAUAGCAAAACCUUCAAUCCGUUACUAACCCGCUACCAGGUGAUCAGUACCUGCAACUGCACGCGAGGUGCGGGGAGUAAAGUGAGUACUUCCAACUUAUUGGUAAUAAGAGAGAAUAAUAUCUGAGCGAUAAGAAAACACGUACGAGCACACCAAACUGCUAUAAAAGACAGAACAACCCUUUUUGAGGAAAACCGAAAUACUGUGAAAAAUUCUUUAGAAAAUAUCAAGAUCAGUUCAAAAUCUUUUUGAAAAUAUGCUUUUUCAACAGUUGCAAGGUAAUUUCAACAAGUAGGAAGUAAUCAGAAACCUGCCCCUCGGGCUCAAUAUCAACCUCUCAGUACAGUAUCAGCCCCACGGGCUCACUCUCAACUCACAAUAUACAACAUCAGCCUCUCGGGUUCACCACUCCUUAUCAUAUAACACCAGGGUAUCUGGUCAUCAAGGCAAGUAACAAUAUCUAUGCCAAUGAUAUAUAAGUGUUAAAUGUCAUGCCACUUAGUACAAGCAUGAGUAAAUGCAUGAAUGGAAUACAAUGCAAUGCAUAUGACCGCUAUAGUGCGUAGCCCGGUCCAUUUGGGUACCCGCGCUUACUGUUGGGGUUCAAACUUCGAAGGGGCUCCUACAACCCAAGCGCAAUAUCAAUAUCACAUUGUUGCGGCGUACAGCCCGAUCCAUGCAAUAUGCUACUGCGACGUGCAGUCAGAUCCGUGCAUGUAUAUGCAUAUGUACACAUAACACUCGAGGCCUGAAGCCUCCUUACAUUAUCUUCAUGCCCUCACGUAUGGCCCUCAGCCUCAAUCAGUCCAAAAUAAGUCAAAAAGCCCCUCGGGCAUCAGUAAAACAAUAAUACUCAGUUCAAAUGAUAAUUCAAAUAUCAGUUAAAUCUCCAAGUUUGAGUAAAAAUAUAGUUGAGUUCAUGAAAUAGUGUAAAUCGCAGGGACUGCGUUAAAAUAAUAUUUCAAAUAGUGAGGAAAACAGUGAUGAUAGCUCAAAAGGAGUUCAAACAAACGGCAAUAAGCCCCAAAGUAUGGCAAUGAGCCCAAGUCAUAAUGAUAACAACAAAUCAUUUGUAAAUACGCGGUGAAAACUAACAACCGGGACAGACCAAGUCACGAUCCCCAACAGUGCUCUACCCCACGCUCAGGUCCAGCGUGCAAGUCACCACAAUACAGUACUAAGAUGUGCAAAUCCGUGGUUUCAAACCCUCAGGAUAUCAUUCCCAAGUAUUACUCACCUCGAACCGGCGAAAUCUCAAGCUCGCAACGCCUUUGCCUUGACAAUCAAACUCCACGGAUGCAAAAUCUGAUCAAAAACAAUAAGAAUACGUCACAAUAGGCUCGCCUUUGCCCCUCAAAUCGGCCUUCACGCGCGUCGAAUCUUGCCAACAACAGAGCGAAUACAUCACAAUAUACAAAUGGGACAAUACCCAAUCGAGAAAAAUUGGAAUAUGACAAGAAUCUCGAAACUAGCAAAACCCGAGCCCUGGGCCCGCUUCUCGAAAAAUUAUGAAACUUACAUUUUCGAAAUAUUCGUCUCGCCACGAGUUCAUACAUACCAAGAACUCCCAAAUCCGAGCUCAAAUGACCUACAAAUUCCAAUUUGAAAUAUCAAAAUUCAAGCCCUAACUUUAGCCCCUUUUUAAUGAAUCAACCAAGUUUCUAUGUUAAUUCUUCCAUAAACUUGAAUAAUUAGGCCAAGGAACUUACCUCCCUUUGUAAUCCUCGUCUCGCCACGAGUUCAUACAUAUCAAGAACUCCCAAAUCCGAGCUCAAAUGACCUAUCAAAUCCCAAUUUGGAAAUGUCAAAAACUCAAGCCCUAGCUUCUUCAAUUUCAUACCCAAUUUCAGAGAAUUAAUGGAUGACUCUUCGAUUAGAUGACAUUUUGAAUGCAUAAGACUUACCUACAAUCGAUCCUCUUCGAAUUCCUCUUCAAUUGUUCUCAAGAAGCUCCGAAAAUGCUCAACAAUGAAAGAAAAUGCAUAACCCUCGCGGAUGAAAAAUGAUAAUUUCACCUUUCUGCCUAGCUCGAUUUCCGCUUUUGCGGUCAUACCUCCGCUUAUGCGGCUCUCGCUUCUGCGUCCUUUCAACCGCUGAUGCGGUCCAACCUUUUCUCCCAGGGAACACUUUUGCGGUGUCACCGCCUAUGCAGUUAUCCUUCCGCAUCCCCGAUCCAGGCGAACUCCCCCAUUGGUCGCUGCUGCGACCCCACGCCCGCUUGUUCUGACUCGCUUAGGCGAAAAGAGUUCCGAUUCUGCGAAACUACCCAGCUCCACAUCUGACCGCUUAUGCGACCAACAUCACGCUUCCGCGGAGCCGCUUCUGCGGUCCAUUUUCCGCAUAAGCGCUCAUACAAGACACCAGCAAGAUCUGCCACUUCUCAACUUAAGAUUUCAUCCCGAAAGCCACAUGAAAUUACCUCGAGGCCCCCGGGACCUCAACCAAAUGUACCAACAUAUCCCAAAACCCAUUAAGAACUUGUUCCAAUCCUCAAAACACACACAACAACACAAAAAUCAUCAAAUUACCACGGAUUCAAGCCUAUUUUUCUUCAAAGCUUCUGAUUUGCACAUUUGAUCAAAAACCCAACAAAACGACGUCCGAAUGACCUGGAAAUUUACAAACAUAUCAAAAAUCACCAAACGAAGCUACUGUAACUCUCAGAAUUCCAUUUCGUCCCUCGGAUCAAAAUCUCACCAAUCAACCGGGAUCCGCCAAAAUUCACACUUCGCCAAUUCAAGCCUAAUUCUACACCGGACCUCCAAAUUCAAUUACGAGUCCUCUCCUAAGUCAAAAAUAAUCUCUGGAAGCUAACCGAAUCAUCGGAAAUCACAUCCGAGCCUUCUAACUCACAAGUCAACUUUCGGUUGACUUUUCCAAAACAAGCUUAAGUCAUAAAUCAUCCCCCAAAACCAGUCGAAUCAUCGGAAAUCCAUUCCGAGCCAUCUAACUCACAAGAGAACUUCUAGUUGACUUUUUCAACUUAAGCUUUCCUUAAAGAGACUAUUUGUCUCAUUUCUAUCCAAAUUCGAUCCGAAACACUUCAAACUCACCAAAUACAUAUAUUAACACAUGAAGAAGCAAUCAAAUGGGAUAAACGGGACGGAGAUACCGGAGACGACGGGUCAGGUCGUCACAUCCUCCCUAACUUAAACAAACGCUCAUCCUCGAGCGUACCCAGGGUUAUACUAAAAGCAACUCAAUAGCUGAAUGACCUUACCAGGCAUAUACUCGGGGUGAUCCCACGUCAUCCUAUCUCACAAAGGUCCGAUAAUACAACAUAGCCGAAAUUUCACCGUCCAUUUAAACCAUAAAUCGCAUUGCACUUUCCGAUGUCAUGCACCAGAUAAGAAUCCCACAUCUUAUACUCAAAAUAAACGUGAACCAACUGUAAUAAUCCAUACCUGCAACCUCGGCUGCAAUCAUAUGAUAUCCCACAACAACCAAUAUCGAUAGAAAAUCUCUUGUUAAAUAGAGUCUCAUUUUUAUACCUUCAUAUACUGCCAACGACAAUAGAAACAAGCGAUAAAUUGAACCCAUCUCUCAGAUCACCCAUUCAUGAGUCCAUUUCCUUUCUGAGUGAUACUACAACAGAUUUCGGAGCCAAACCUCGAUAUUACCUUUCUAACAAGCUGAAAUCAAAUGUGCUCGUACUCAUUAAUGAAUCCAACGAUCAUCUCAACAACAACACACCACUCUGGUGAUAUGACACCUCAACACCGGCCUAAGCUGCAACAUGCUCAACACAGGCACCAAUAAAAAACGAUCUGAACACACUCAAAUCAUGACAACUGACUCAAACGAAAGAGAUAUAAUGCAAAUUCCUCCAUACGAUCACAAUACCGAACUGAGAUCCCAUCUCACAUCAUAGAAAUAGAAUACCUGAAUCCUCCUCGAAAGGUCAUAACUUCAUGUGGCCUUGCCACAACGCUCGAUUCUAUCCAAAAAAUAUUACCCAUGAAGCACCUCAAGUCACCAUGCUCAACACGAUCAUCCACACACCGAUUGAGGUCUGAAACCACGCAAUCGUGGCCUUGCCACAAUACGUGAUUCUAUCCAAACACUAUUACUCAUGAAGCACUACAAGUCACCACGCUCAACACAGACAGUCGCACACAGAUUAAGGUCUGAAACCAAGCGAUCCAUCACACCCACGGUGAAGCAAGUAUUAUACACUGUUCAAUCCUGAAAGGACACGACCGAUGAGCUAUUCGCCGAACAACACCCAAUACGGAUUUUUCCUCGGAAACUAGGAAGUAAUGCAUACAAGGUAACAUAUAGAAAACUAUUCUCCACAUCACACCGUUGCAGCGUGCAAUCUGCUCCAGAUAACAAACCCGUGGCAGCGUGCCACCUGAUCCAGGUACCAUACCCGUGGAAGCGUGCCACCCGAUCCAGGUACCAUACCCGUGGCAGCGUGCCACCCGAUCCACACAUAUAUCUCACAAAAAGAGUUGCACAUUGAGUCAAAUUUGCUCAUUACAUUAAACACAUAUAGCCUCAUGCCCGACAGCAAGAAACGCAUCCGAAAAGUCCUUCAAUACUGGAACUGAAUCAAUGGUAGAAACUUCUGCACUUACAUCCGCCAUGAAGGCCCAAUUAAACAAGCAAUACUUGCCAGCCGUCCGCUGGUCUCUGGAGUACAAGCUACCCUGCUAGAACAUAAUCCGAAGUACCUUUCCACGCAGCCUGUAGCAUUUUCUAACAUAGCCCAUAACACAUUAUUCUAGACAAUCAAUCCCUGGAACAACCAGUCUACCAUAAAAUACCAUGACCCAGAUUUAACAUAACAUGCAAAUAAAGAUCCACGCAGACCUCCAAUUUCCAACAACUGCUAGACGAUGUCGAUACACACGACCCCCAACCACCGCAUGGUCGGAUCACGGGAAUUUCUAGUUCCCAACACAUAUAGCGCAUGAAUCACUAUGCCUGAUCCCACACUCCGCCGUAAAAACACGUAGCACACAUCAAGUAUCCAUUCAUACUAGAAAGAUAUUCAAAAUUUCCACAUGAAUCACUAUGCAUGAUCCCACACUCCGCCGUACGAAUACAUAAAACACAUCAAGUAUCCAUUCAUACCACAAAAGAUAUUCAAGAUUUCCUGCGCCAUCAACAAACUCAAAUAUCCGCAGUCGAUCCAACAAGAAAAUAUCGCAAUACUACUGAAGCGUCAUCAAUUUACAUCACCUUAAUCAUCUGAAAAUUGAUUCUUUACUCACAUGUAGCUGACCGUGCUACUCAAGAAUUUAAUGAUUUCCCAUUAUGAACUGAACCAAAACCUUGAACACGCAAAUCUCAAUUCUCCAUAUCAUAACACAUNNNNNNNNNNNNNNNNNNNNNNNNNNNNNNNNNNNNNNNNNNNNNNNNNNNNNNNNNNNNNNNNNNNNNNNNNNNNNNNNNNNNNNNNNNNNNNNNNNNNNNNNNNNNNNNNNNNNNNNNNNNNNNNNNNNNNNUCAACGCACUCAACUAGUCAAGAACUUUCAUGAUCCCAUAUAGGAGAAAAAUUAUUACACACUCCAUGCUUCGCAUAACCAUAGGAAAUAUACUCAUCUUUAAGUCACGGUAAAACACAUCAAGGACUUUUUCUCCCAAUUCCCUUACACAAGCUAAAUUGCCAGGACUGAGUCUUUCUAUCAAGAUCAAGUUAAGCAAACUGCCAACACUUAAAAGCUUUGCUACACAAUACCUGUAAGGCUCAUUACCUCAAACACAUACAAUAAUUAAUCAUAUCCUUACCAUACCAAUUUGGUUAAUUAUCAAGAUAUUCCAUUUUAUCCUAUUUCCUUCCCGGCUCGUCUUUAAUUUGAUAUUCUCUCUUGUUGUAGCACCACGAUACCUCGACCCAGGUUACCAUACAAGACUCGCACAUAAAAUAACAUUGUCCAAGACCAUAUGCCACGCAAUACCCUCUUGUAGCACCACAAUACCUCGACCCAAGUUACCACACGAGACUCGCACAUAAAAACACACUGUCCAAGACCCAUAGGCCACGAAAUACCCUCUCAAACGUUUCCCAGAAAUGCCACAUUCCAGAAUGCUUUACCUUGAAGAAUUUCCUGCAAUACUGAAUUCGUUUACCAUUACCUUCCAAAUACGGAUACAUAGAAUGCCAUUAUUAACAUAAAAUACCGCAAGUCUUGAUAUUUUCUAAUGAAAACUCAAUCUCUAGCCACAUACGUAGAAUUAAGACACCUGAUUGUUACAUGCAAAAUCUUGAACAUAGUAAAACCAUUCUCGAGCGUCAUUAACUCUUAUUCAGCUGUAAUUCACCUUCCCUAAAUGAACGGAACCACUCGUGCCUUAUUAGUACUCAGACAUACAGAUACAACAACCAUCUUCCUUCACUGCGAUUCUGAAUUCGUUUACCAUUACCUUCCAAAUGCGGAUACGUAGAAUCCCAUUAUUAACACAAAGUACCACAAGUAUUGAUCUUUUCUAAUGAAAACACAGUCUCUAGCCACAUACACAAACUUAAGACACUCGAUUGUUACAUGCAAAAUCUUGAACAUAGUAAAACCAUUCUCGAGAGUCAUUUACUCUUAUUCAGCUGUAAUUCGCCUGCCCUAAAUGAAGGGAACCACUCGUGCCUUAUUAGUACUCAGACACAACAAAACAUAAUUUCAUACAGAUACAACAACCAUCUUCCUUCUUUAUGCACCGAGCAUUCUUUAUAAACAGCAGCUCAAAACAUCCUAGUAUUCCCUCACAUUUCGAAAGAACCAUAUAACCUUUGUAGAAAUUUUUCCUUCACACGUGCCAUUCUCGGCUUAAUGUCUAUAACCAUAACUGAUCUGCCAUCAUACCUCAAACGGAACCAACAUACCACAUAACCAUGCAAUCAGCUGACCAACAGAACCUCCCCGACUUGGCUCGAAGCCAUAUAUCAAGGCACUCUUAACAUUUCAUAGCACUUUUACCUACAACGAUGCCACAAUGUUAUAAUGAGAUUAAACUCAAGUCAUUUACAAGUUUGUGAAUACCCAGAUAAUCUAGCACUGAUAUUCUUUGCAAAUCUCGCAUUCAUUUCCACAUCAACUGAGUCCAUUUUCUUAAACGUCCCCAAAUUCUCAAAUUUCAACACAUACCCUUUAAUUACACAUGAGAUAUUUUACAUACACAUAAGGAUCAUACCGCUCAAAACCCUCCGCAGGAGAUAACCCACCUGCUUCACCUCAUUUCAAUAUCUCCAUAUACCUUCCACCAUCAUAUACGUAAUACACAACCAUAUAGUUUUCCUGAGUCUGAACUCAUACCGCCACAUGUAUUGCACUUCACUUUCCAGCUAGGGGAUAUGAAAAUAUUCUUCACGCGCCCAUGCCUCGGGCUACAUCACAGACCAAAAUAGGAAACAAACACUUAUAGCUCAUCUAUUAUCCAUCAGACUCUUUCGUCACCACCAAGAUCACAUAGAUACCCCUCGCACUACUAACAAUACUCAUCACAUGGAUAUCUAGCCGCCAUUCUGGCUAAUAAGAACAAUACUGAACAUAUAAGUGCAAAAUACUUGCUCACACAAUCGGCACCUCGGUGCUAGAGCCAUAGGCAAAUAUCCAGCCUCAGGUCCUCCAGACUGGCCCAACAUGAACUCACAGAGAUUACCUCUCACCCCUUGAUCGGGGAAUCAUAAGCCAUCAAGGCACAUAUCUACUAAGCGCUCACGUGCGCAUACAGACGUGUGGAAUGAAUUUUCAAGAGUUAUCUCAAACUGAAUCAAGUACGCACGAUAAGAAUUCCAAGAAUGGGAAGUUUUCCCGAAGGUUCUGCAGCCUCUCGAGGAUAAAUACAGACGUCUCCGUACCGAUUCGCAAGACUGUACUAACCCUGCUCGUGACUCGUGAUACCUAGUAACCCAAGCUCUUAUACCAACUUGUCACGACCCCAAUUCCAUACCCAGUCAUGAUGGCCUCUCUCGUGAAGACAAGGCCAUCCAACAACCCCAAAUACUCUUUAGGCAGCAAUUAAACACAAAUGAAUAGGAAUAUUACUUAAUAGCAUUUAACUAUGAAAUUUCAUUCCAAUACAACCCGACAGGUUGGUCAGUUAUAUAACAGCUCGAAUCUGAAUUAAUAAUAUUAAUCAAUAUGAAUAAAACCCAAUAUAGCCUGACCGGGGUGUCACAAGUCACGAGCAUCUAGGAUUGCCUUUAUUAAAAUUAAAAAGUCUACAAUACAUAGAGUAAAAUCUGGGAAUCAAGAAGAAGAAGAAUCUCGAUGCCGCGAACGCCGUCGGUCACCUAACUUAGCUACGAUAGCAAAACCUUCAAUCCGCUAAUAACCCGCUACCGGGUGAUCAGUACAUGCAACUGCACGCGAGGUGCAGGGAGUAAAGUGAGUACUUCCAACUUAUUGGUAAUAAGAGAGAAUAAUGUCUGGGCGAUAAGAAAACACGUACGAGCACACAAAACAGCUAUAAAAGACAGAACAAUCCUUUUUGAGGAAAACCGAAAUACUGUGAAAAAUCCUUUAGAAAAUCUCAAGAUCAGUUCAAAAUCUCUUUGAAAAUAUGAUUUUUCAACAGUUCCAAAGGUAAUUUUAACAAGUAGGAAGUAAUCAGAAACCUGCCCCUCGGGCUCAGUAUUAACCUCUCAGUACAGUAUCAGCCCCGGGGGCUCACUCCCAACUCACAAUAUCCAACAUCAGCCUCUCGGGCUCAGCACUCCAUAACAUAUAACACUAGGGUAUCUAGUCAACAAGGCAAGUAACAGUACGUAUGGCAGUAUUCACCACUCCUUAACAUAUAACACCAGGGUAUCUGGUCAUCAAGGCAAGUAACGGUAUAUAUGCCAAUAAUAUAUGAGUGUUAAAUGUCAUGCCACUUAGUACAAGCACGAGUAAAUGCAUAAAUGGAAUACAAUGCAAUGCAUAUGACCGCUACAGCGCGUAGCCCGAGGGUACUCGCGCUCACUGUGGGGGUUCAGACUCCAGAGGGGCUCCUACAGGCCAAGCGCAAUAUCAAUAUCACAUCGCUGCGACGUGCAUCCCGAUCCAUGCAAUAUGCUACUGCGGCGUGCAGUCCGAUCCAUGCAUGUAUAUGCACACGUACACAUAACACUCGAGGCCUGAAGCCUCCUUACAUCAUCUUCAUGCCCUCACGUGUGGCCCUCAACCUCAAUCAGUCCAAAAAUAGUCAAAAAGCCCCUCGGGCUUUAGUAAAACAAUAAUACUCAGCUCAAAUGAUAGUUCAAAUAUCAGUUAAAACUCCACGUUUGAGUAAAAAUAUAGUUGAGCUCAUGAAACAGUGUAAAUCACAUGGACUAAGUUCAAAUAAUAUUUCAAAUAGGGAGAAAACAGUGAUGAUAGCUCACAAGAGUUCAAACAAUCGGCAAUAAGCUCCAAGUAUGGCAAUGAGCCCAAGUCAUAAUGAUAACAACCAAUCAAUUACAAAUACGCGGUGAAAGCCAACAACCGGGACAGACCAAGUCACAUUCCCCAACGGUGCUCUACCCCACGCUCAGGUCCAGCGUGCAAGUCACCACAAUACAAUACUAAGAUGUGCAAAUCCGGGGUUUCAAACCCUCAGGACAUCAUUCCCAAGUAUUACUCACCUCGAACAGGCGAAAUCUCAAGCUCACGACGCCUUUGCCCAUAAAAUCGGCCACCACGCGCGUCGAAUCUAGCAAAAAACAGAGCGAAUACAUCACAAUAUCCAAAUGGGACAAUACCUAAUCGAAAACAAUUGGAAUAUGACAAGAAUCUCGAAACUAGCAAAACCGGAGCCCUGGGCCCGCUUCUCGAAAAUUCUGAAACUUACAUUUCCGGAAUUCUUGUCUCGCCACGAGUUCAUACAUACCAAGAACUCCCAAAUCCGAGCUGAAAUGACCUAUCAAAUCCCAAUUCAGAAAUGUCAAAAACUCAAGUCCUAGCUUCUUCAAUUUCAUACGCAAAUUCAGAGAAUUAAUGGAUGAUUCCUCGAUUAAAUGACGUUUUGAAUCCAUAAGAUUUACCUCCAAUCGAUCCUCUUCGAAUUCCUCUUCAAUUGUCCUCAAGAAGCUCCGAAAAUGCUCAACAAUGGAAGAAAAUGCAUAACCCUCGCGGAUGAAAAAUGAUAAUUUAACCCUUCUGCCCAGCUCGAUUUCCGCUUCUGCAGUCAUACCUCCGCUUGUGCGGCUCUCGCUUCUGCGUCCUUUCGACCGCUGAUGCAGCCCUACCUUUUCUCCCAGGGGCAGCUCGAUUUCUGCUUCUGCGGUCAUACCUCCGCUUAUGCAGCUCUCGCUUUUACGUCCUUUCGACUGCUGAUGCAGUCCAACCUUUUCUCCCAGCGACCGCUUUUGCGGUCAACUACCGCUUACACGGUCACCGCCUAUGCAGUUAUCCUUCCGCACCCGCGAUCCAGGCCAGUCCCCCAUUGGCCACUUCUGCGAUCCCACGUCCGCAUAUGCGGACUCGCUUAAGCAAAAAAGGUUCCACUUCUGCGGAACUACCCAGCUCCACAUCUGACCACUUAUGCGACCAACAUCACGCUUCCGCGGAGCCGCUUCUGCGGUCCAUUUUCCGCAGAAGCGCUAGACACCAGCAAGAUCUGCCACUUCUCAACUUAAGAUUUCAUCCCGAAAGCCACAUGAAAUUACCCCGAGGCCCCCUGGACCUCAAUCAAAUGUACCAACAUAUCCAAAACCAUAUAAGAACUUGUUCCAAUCCUCAAAAGACACACAACAACACUAAAAUCAUCAAAUUACCACGGAUUCAAGCCUAUUUUUCUUCAAAGCUUUCGAUUUGAACAUUUGAUCAAAAACCCAACCAAACGACGUCCGAAUGACCUGAAACUUUACAAACAUAUCAAAAAUCACCUAGCGAAACUAUUGCAACUCUCGAAAUUCCAUUAGGACUCUCGGAUCAAAAUCUCACAUAUCAACCGGGACUCGCCAAUAUUCAAAUUUCGCCAAUUCAAACAUAAUUCUACACCGUACCUCCAAAUUCAAUUCAGAUCGCUCUCCUAAGUCACAAAUCAUCAGGCUAACCGAAUCAUCGGAAAUCAAUCCGAGCCUUUUAACUCACAAGUCAACUUCCAGAUAACUUUUCCAAAACAAGCUUCCUUACUGAUAUUGAAACAUGAAACAACACAAUAAGGGGGAAACAUAGCAGUAACACAUAAGAUGACGGGUCAGGUCGUCACACCUUGGAGAUACGCCUAAUAUUAUUUAUCUCGGUUUGGGCAAAAUAUUCUUAAGGAAAAUGUCUUUGACACGCCUCAAGCUAAACUUUUAUUCUCCGUAAUCAUCAAUUGUUUCCGACAAUUAGUAGCUAGAUUGCAACUGCCUUUUUGAGUAUUUUUGAGGAAUCUGUCAUUAUUGUUUAGACUUCCAUGUGCCGCCAGUCUUAGGAUGAAGAUCCAUCUGGGCAGAACAAGAUUACUAGUUGAUAAAGUAUGUAUUUAAUAAUCAAUAUGAAAUCUAAAUAAUGAAAUGAUCUCGUUUAAUUUUUUAUUUCUCAAAAUGAUAAAAUAUCGUCUCAAAAUCGAGGAUGUAGGAGUUUACUAGAUUGUGACUUGUGUAUGGAAGAUUAAAGAUUGAAGCAUUUCAACAAACUUGAUAAGAAAGUGAUAGUACAUGCUAAGACCAAACAUUAUUUAAAAGUAGAAGAAAAGAAAAUAGUAUAAUAGAUCCAGUAAAUAUUAGAUUUCAUGAAAGGAUCAAAAAUAUUUCUAGAUAUAAUUUAAAAGGAAAAUCCAAUAUAAAGUUUUUAAUAUAUAAUAUAUAAUAUAUCUAUAUAUGUUAGUUUAGGUCGAAAUUUUCUUGCUCAAUACUGAACCAAACUAAUAUACUCAAUUUUUCUAAUCGAUUUGGAUCAACUUUUCAGUUAUAUUGCACACCCUUAGUCAUAAGCAGGGAUGUAUGUAACGAUCCGCCUGGUCGUUUUAUCUUUUAGAAUUUUGUUCUCUUAAAUAAAAUAUUUCGUGCUUGCUUUACCUAAUUUAUAAUUUGCGGGGACGAUUGGUUCGGGAUUUGAAAGUUUUGAGGGAAAGAUGCCUAUUUGAUUCCUUAGAAUUUUAUUAAAAGAUUAAUUUUAACUUUGAUCAAUAUUUUGAGAAAACAGAUCCGAAUUCGUAAUUUGACGGUCCCGGAGAAUCCGUGAGAAAAUAUGGGACCUGGAUAUAUGUCCGGAAUCAAAUUUCGUGGUCCCUAGCCCGAGUAAUGAAUUUUUAUUAGAAAUUGUUAAUCUGAAGUUUUAAGGAUUUAAAGAAACUAAGUAAUGAUUUAUUUCAUGGGUAUUAGGUGUCACACCCCUUUUUUUUAACAAACCAAACUCUACUUAAAUCCUCUUAAUUAAAUAAAAAAAAUUUAUUUAGCUUGAGAAGGGUUUUUCAAUUUUGAAAGUGACAAAAAUUUGUUUCAAAAGGAAAUAAACUCAGAGUCGCCACCUGACUUUGAUUUCGGUGUGCCAGGUCACCGUUCUUUUUAAAAAUAGUUAUUUUUCCUUUUAAAACAUUUCUGACUCUAAAACCAAGUCCGCACCAGAGAUUCAGGUAAAUGGGUUCAUUUGACUCGGGGAGAAGGUGUUAGGCACUCCCCAAAUUCCGUGAAGGUCACGGUUGCGUACUUGAUCUAGUUGGCUUUUUAAAACAUUUAAAUUGAGGUAAAUUACAAAAAAGCAAAGCAAACACACAUGAAGCUCAAGGUCGUCCCUACCUAAUAAAAGAAAAUAAAACAAAAUGAAAUUAGUCUUGAUAAUAACCUAUAUUACGCCUCCAUUGAUGUUGCCGCGGCCUCCAAAUACAAGUACUUUGGGGCAUUCCCCGGAAUAAAAUAUACACAAGUCCUUCGGACAUUCCCCGGAUAAAUUUAAUUAAGGGAACGACCUCUCGCCUCGAAACUAACAAAAUCCUAAGAUUUGCCUAUCCGAGUGUGAUCGGUCUAAACAUGCUCCUAGCGAGUCAAUGAGCAAAUGCAAAAUAAAAAUAAUAGAAAUCCAAUUGAUUCUAUUUAAUCAAACCCAUACUCAUCCGACAAUGAGUUUCAGUUUUCUCAAAUAAAUACCUUCCAAUAUCAAUUUCCUUCAUUGUGGACACCUAAUUAAGCAUGAAUCAUCUUCUCUCUUUUUUUAACAAAAAAAUGCAUACACCAGCAAUGAGCAUUUGUGAAAUCGUGGCACUACUGAACAAUCAUGUUUUGCUCCAUUAACCCAAGCAACUAAAUCUUGUUUCCAAAUUAAACAAUUUAAAUUCAAGAUAUCAUAAAGGAGAAAGAAAUUCGCAUCAAUCCAUCACCCAAACACUGUAUAAGAUAGAGUCAAUAAAUAUAAGGAAAGGAUAGUAAUGAACCUCAAAUUGAUAGCUUUUCCGAUUACAGUAGCAGUGACGGAACAAGAAUCAAGACCCGAGCUCGACCGGAAAUCCUCGUCGGCAACCUCGACGAACUCAAAUUGAAUCACGGCUCAUUCACAAUCUGAUUCGCUUGGAGCGGUUGGGAAACGAUGGCGGGCUGCUAGUUCCUCUCGUUCGCUGCCUCUGUUUUUCCCAUGUUCUCGAUUGUGCGUGCGUGUGUGGCAAAUGACUAUGAGGGUCUCGAUUUUCUGUCAAGCCAAAGGGUUGAAAUGGCUAUAGAGAAUGUUUUAUUUGUGUUUGUUUGGUUCCGAAAGCUAGUUUGGAGAUCAGUCCUUUUUUUUCGUAAAAAAUGAGGUCUGCCGUCUCUUUGUUGUUUAGGAUAUUAAAAUGUUUGGCUCUUUCGUCGGUUUUCUUAGAAGUGUUGGCUCAUUUUUUGGUGAAAUUCCUGAAGAAGAAAUCAAUGGCUGCCUUAGUAUAUACGGCUCUUCGGUUUUUUGUGUCUUAAGGUUCAAAAAUGAAGAAGAAGACCUUGUCUCUUUACGUCUUACUAGGGUUUAUCUUUUUAGGAUUGGGCUCAAAAUCUUGUGGCCUAUUUUGAAUUGGACCAAAUUUGGAUAAGAAAAGCUUAACAAGCC
rnacentral:lncRNA from 1 species